ACAACACAACACACGAGCAGAGUGAAGAGAAGAUGUGGAGGUUCCACAAUACUAUAGAACAUUUCUGUUGUGAUCUGAGAAAUAUACUAAGCUAUUAGAAAACGAUCUAACAUGAUCAAAUAUGAAGAGAGCUGAACUUAAAGCAGUGAUGAUGGUGAGGUUUAUAAGCUGUUGUGCUCAGAACAAAUUUGAUUUGACUUCCUCUACUUGAUGAAGGAAGAGCUUUUUUUGUCUUCCUGUCUCUGCUUUAGAUUCAUCUUCAGUGUUGUGUGGAAGAAAACACGACAACAAGAUGAAGAUCAUUCCGCUUCAGUUCUAUGUAUUAAUCUGUUGUCAAGCUGCAGUUUCAGAUCUACUGACUGAUCUGGGAUCAAAUGUGACCAUAAACUGUGAUCUUGAUGAAAAUGAGGUUUAUUGGAUUUUACUGAAAACACCAGAUCCUCCGACACUGAUUCUACGAUCAUUAUACAACAUACAACAUACGACACAGAUACCUCCUCAUUACUAUAAUAAAACAUUCAGAAACAAAUAUUCAGUGCAGUUUAAACAUCGUCUGGUUAUUAAUAAUGUGACUGCUGAUGAAUUAGGAGUUUAUUACUGUAUGAACACACGCACUCCUCCAAAACUCAGCAACAGCACCAGAAUAUACUUCACCGAACCGUUUCAUCAAACUGAGUGUCACAAUCAUACAGUUCUGCAGAUUAUUGAUCAGAAUCAGACACAGUGGCAGAUUAUUAUCAUCAUAUCUGCUCUGAUGAAUGGACUUCUGAUCAUUGUGGUGAUUGGUUUAUUGAAAUGUUCUGCAGAACAAUCCCGACUCGAAGCUGAUCAGCAUCAGACACAAGAUACAGAACAACAUCAGGAGCAUUUACACUUCAAAACAUGUGAAUCCAGCCUCAUUACUAAAAUUCAUUUCUGUCUUGAUAAUUAUUGAGGAUUCUUGUUGACCUGUAAAUUAGCGUUC